rnacentral:lncRNA from 1 species
AACAAGUUCAAUCCAUAUAAGUUUGAUUUUGUCGCUAACCUUGUCUUGUGAUUAUGGUUUUGACAGACUCAUAUGGAUAGGAACACGUACACUACAAAAAUCUAAGUGUCAUAAGGUUUCUCUACGAUUCAUGAAAACGAUGGUGAGGAAACGCUUUCACUAAGUAGAUUUUAAAUAGUUAUCAAUCGUGAUAUUUUCAUUCUCAAAUUCGUCUAUGAUUACAGCAUCCCUCUUCAUAGUUCGAAUUGUGAGNUAGGCCCUUUUGCUGCCGGGUGGCAAGAAAACUAAGAUUAAACAAGUUCAAUACAUAUGAGUUUGAGUUUGUCACUAAACUUGUCUUGUGAUUAUGGUUAUGACGAAUUUACAUGGAUAUGAACACAUACACCAUAGAAAUAUAAGUGUCAUAAGGUUUCUCUUUGAUUCAUGAAAAUGAUGGUNAUAGUUAUCAAUCGUGAUAUUUUCAUUCUCAAAUUCGUCUAUGAUUACAGCAUCCCUCUUCAUAGUUCGAAUUGUGAGAAAUGGCAAAAGGUUUAAACAUUAUGAUUACGACAUCCCUCUUCAUAAUUG